rnacentral:tRNA from 1 species
GGGGACGUGGUGUAAUGGGAGCACGUAGCCUUCGCAAGGCUAAAAUGGCGGUUCGACUCCGCUCGUCUCCA